CUUUCCUUUAGGAUAGAAAAAUAAUACAUGCCAAAAGAAUUUGAGGAACAAAUUCAGCCCUGAGACAGGUCAAGGAAACAGCCCUCCAGUCUUCCUCAAGAAAUGUAGACUGAAUCAGCAUUUACCCUCCCCUGGAAGAACGCAGGAGCUGUGCACGCCUGGGAUCUCAGCAGGGCUUUUGGGAAAAGCAGAACUGGGCUGGAGUCAUGGUUUCCGGGCUGACUCUAGAUUUUCCCUGGCUCUUGUCACCUGCGAUGGCUGGAGAGUAUCCGAAGAUGACGGCCAAUGUCCUUAGCUUGUGAAGCUUGGAUGACGGCCGGGGCCCUCAGACCCCUUGGCCCCUCAGACCCCUUGGCCCCUCCUCAACUGCAGGUCUUCAAAAGCCCAACACCUGUUCGUCAUUUCUGUGGCUCCUCAGGGAGUCUUACUCUUCUGCUUCAAGCUGCUGGGUUUGACUCUGAGCAGUUUCUGUGCAGCCACAAGAUUCUUAUGUGAGACACACUGCUGCUUCAGAGUGCUCCAACCCAUCUCCCCCGAUUAAACAAUAACCAGGGCUGCCAUAGCAAAGUGGCUUGAAUGGGUGACGUCAACAACAGAUUUACUUUCUCAUAGUUCUGGAGGCAGGUGUCCAGGAUCAAGGUGAUGGCAAGGCUAUUCCUUCUGUGGCCUCUCUCCUUGCCUUGUGGAUGACCGUCUUCUCCGGGUCUUUCCAAGAUCUCUCCUCUGUGCAUGUCAGUGUCCUCGCUUCCUCUUCUUAUGAAGACACCGGUCAUGUUGGAAUGCAACAGAAGAGACUGCAUGGCUUCUGAGGUUGCAGCUUUUGGGAGAAGCCAUCUACCAUUGAUGACACACAUGCCGUGUGGAAACCCCACCAGCCAUGUGGAGAGGCUACCUGGACAGAGGCACAGGGCCAGCACCAGCUGUGGAGACAGACAUGUGAGUAAAGAAAUCAUCUUUGAUGUACAGCCAAGUUGAGCCUUCAGAUGACUCUGAUUUCAGACACCUUCAGACGCAACCACAUGAAAGACUCUAAAUAGAAGCCUCCCAGCUGAUCCCAGUUAACCCACAGUGUUGAAGGGGAUAAUAAUAAAUUGUUUUAAGC